GGCGCGGUAGCUCAGUUGGUAGAGCGGGGGACUGAAAAUCCCUGUGUCGGCGGUUCGAUUCCGCCCUGCGCCACCA
rnacentral:tRNA from 1 species